CGACAGCAAUAUGAAGGUCAGGCUGAAGACCUUACCCGAUUAGCUGAGAGGUGGUGCAUGGCCGUCGUCAGUUCGUACUGUGAAGCAUCCUGUUAAGUCAGGCAACGAGCGGGACCCACGUCCACAGUUGCCAGCAUACCCUCCGGGGUGAUGGGUACACUGUGGAGACCGCCGCUGCUAAAGCGGAGGAAGGAGUGGGCAACGGUAGGUCAGUAUGCCCCGAAUCUCCCGGGCUACACGCGGGCUACAAUGGUUGGUACAAUGGGCAUCUACCCCGAAAGGGGAAGGAAAUCUCUUAAAGCCAAUCGUAGUUCGGAUUGAGGGCUGCAACUCGCCCUCAUGAAGCUGGAAUCCGUAGUAAUCGCGUUUCAACAGAACGCGGUGAAUACGUCCCUGCUCCUU
rnacentral:rRNA from 1 species